rnacentral:rRNA from 1 species
UACGGUUGAUCCUGCCAGUUGCAUAUUGCUUGUUCACAGAUUAAGCCAUGCAAGUCUAGUACACACGGCCGGUACGUGGUGAACUGCGAAUGGCUCAUUAAAUCAGUUAUGGUUCCUUUGAUCGCCAAACGCUACUGGAUACCUGUGGCAAUUUUCCUAGAGCUAAUACAUGCAAACGAGCGCUGCUGACCUCCGGGGGGAUUCGUUGCUUUAUCGACCCAAAACCCUUGCGGUCCAAUCUCGGUUGCCCCGGCCGCUUUGGUAUGCUCAGAUAACUUGUAGCCGAUCGCGCGCCCCUUUGUGGCGCGGGUUUGUUCGGCGGGGUGACCGUCUCAUCGAAUGUCCCUCCCUAUCAACUUUUCGAUGGUACUUUCUGUGCCUACCAUGGUGACCACGGGUAACGGGGAACAGGGCUUCGAUCCGGAGAGGAGUCCGAGAAACGGCUACCACAUCCAAGAAGGCAGCAGGCGCGCAAAUUACCCACUCCCGACUCGGGGCGGUUGUUAGUUUGACGAAACAUAAACCAUACAGGACUCUUUCGAGGCCCUGUAAUUGGAAUGAGUUACACUUAAAUCCUUUAACGAGGAAUCAUGGCGGCACGUCUGGUGCCAGCAGCCGCUGGUUAACUUCCAGCUCCAAUAGCGUCUCUUAAAGUUCCUUGAGUUAUUAUAAAUUAAAAAGCUCGUAGUUGGAUCUCUGGAUCGAGGCUGGCGGUCCGCGCGACGUGCGAGCUACCGGCCUGUCCCAGCCCCUGCCUCUCGGGCGCCCCCUCGAUGCUCUUAACUUGGAGUGUCCCGCGGGGUCCCGAAUCGUUACUUUGAAAAAACUUAGAGUGUUAAAGAGGCCCCGGUCGCAUGAAUACCGCAGCAGCUAGGAUAAUGGAAUAGGACUCUCCGGUUCUAUUGUUGUGGUUUUUCUGAACAUUGGGGGCCAUGAUUAAGCUGGACGGUCGGGGGCAUUUGUAUUGCUGCCGCUAAGGUGAAAAUUUGGACCGGGCGCACGACGGACGAAAGGCGCAAGCAUCUGCCAGAAUGUUUCAUUAAUCCCAAGAACGAAAGUCGGCUGACGGUUCGAAGCACGAUAGAUUUACCGUCGUUAGAUUUUAGUUUCCGGAACCAUAAACGAUGCCACUCGCGAUCCGGCGGCGUAUUCCCAUGACCCGCCGGGCGGGCCAGGUACGCGGAAACCAAAGUCUUUGGGUUCCGGGGGGAGGGCGUAUGGUUGCAAAGUGAAACUUUAACGGGAAUUGACGGCAGGGCACCACCGGAGUGGAGCUGCGGCUUAAUUUGACCAAACUACGGAAAACCUCACCCUGCCCGGAAGGACCGGGAACGGAUUGACAGCUUGAUAGCCUCUUUUCUCGCUCUGUGGGUGGUGGUGCAGGCCGUCUCGUUGUGGAUGCGCUUGUCUGGUUAAUUCCGGGAUAACGAACGAGACUCCGGCCUGCUACACUGUUAUGGCGCCCCGCGCGGUCGGUUGUGUCCACCGUUCCUUCGGGGACACGUGGCGUUCCGCCCCCGCGCUUGCGCACUCCCGGUCUGUGAUGCCCUUCGCUGUCGGGGUGCCCGCGCGCCCCCCUGCGCGGAUCCGCGGUGUCUCCCCGUCGCCGCUCGGCGUUGGGUUCCCCCGCUGUGCACCCCAACUCGGAUAGGGAUUGGGGAUUGCAUUAUUUCCCAUGACCGAGGAAUUCCCCAGUGAAGCCGCGUGGUCAUCAGGCUCGCGUUGAUUAAGUCCCUGCCCUUUGUUUACACACCGUCUCCGCUGCUACUACCGAUUGGAUUGGUUUGUGAGGUCCUCGGACGGCCCCGCUGAGGUCCGGUCACGGCCCUGGCGGUAAGCGCCGAGAAGACGAUCAAACUUGACUAUCUAGAGGAAGAGUAAAAGUCGUAACAAUGUUUCCGUAGGUGAACCUGCGGCAG